GGUUGUUUCUUGUGGAGUUUCUUGUGAGCUUACAGCCUGUAACAAGCACAAGAAAAAUAUGGAAUGCCUGAAUGUGGGAGCCUACUUUUCUUUUCUGAAAGGUUUCUGCUCUGCUGUUUUAUCAAGUCCGUACAUACAGAGAUCUGUAGAUUGAUGUUUCCUCUCUUUAGUCUGAGAAAUUAAGGUGAAGAUGAAGACUUAAGGGAAAUGGAGGCUUCUUAGGACUAGACAGGCAAAAUACCAGUCUAAGAAGACGGGACUGAUUUAAUACAGAAGUUACAUAACUUAAUAAAUAUGCAUCUUUAUGAAUGCUAAUCUCUUGCAAUCAAUGUUAUCAGUCAUCUCACUGUAUCCAAAAGUGUGAUUGAUCUAACUGGUGGGUGUGUGUGUGUCACACAUACACAGAGCUUACUUCAUGGGUUGUAGCUCCUGUCAGGAAAUAUCUAGCUUAUCAAACAUGGAAUCUUACAUCAGAAAUGUGAAAUACUUGCUGCACAUAUUGUGGCCUCCACAGAGUACUUGGGAAUAUCUGCUCUGUAACACCUGGAACGCCUUCUGUGAUUUUGUGAUCAUUAGAUUUUUGACACUUCUCAUUACGCAUUUAGCAGUUUCUGCACUUCCUUAAAUGUGUUUCCACAGAGGUGCUGCUGAUGUGAUUGGUAGGCUUAAGUAGAACCGACUGUGUCUUCUCACAGAAGCAAUCCAUGCAGCCCCCUAGUGCCAACACCUUGCCCCCAGACUCCCAAAGCAGUAUUAUAUCAGGCAGUCUUAGUGCAGCAACAGCUGUUUUUACAGAAAGAUAAGUGCAUUUGAAAACUGGAAGCAUCUUUAGAAACUUUUACAAAGUGUUUACUAAUGCCAUUAAUAAUGUCAGUAUCUUGUCACUGAUAAAAUCUUUUGUAUGUUGGUUAAGGUUUCUAGUAGUAAUCGAGAGUAACUUGAGCAGAAAAUGAUGACGUGAAGUACAAGAGUCUUAAA